rnacentral:lncRNA from 1 species
CGUCGGUCUCCAUAAGCUAACAGCGUGCGUAAGUCAUCUAGCGUUUAUAUUUGUAUCUAUGGUAAUGGCAGCCUUCUCUUCCUUUAGCUCUGGCCUUUCCCUCCACUUCCGGUUAGCCUCGCCCCUCUCCUCACGUUCACACCUGUACAGGUAGGUUAGCAGUUGGCUGCUUGAAAUGCUAAGAGAUCGAUUAUCACACUGAUUUGUCUGUGAUUCGGUUUGUUUUAGAUGCGGUGUUGAUGGUUUCCAGCUCUCGCCACCGGCGCCGUGCAGAGAUGGUCAUCGCCGCAACAUUUAAUACCUGCUCGGUUCGCUUCUCUCCGUCUUGGGGGUCUCUCACGUCGGCCUGUGGACUUCCCGCGGUGCCAAGCUAAAGUAAGUAAACAUUACUUCGCUUCGACGCUGCUUUGCUCCUGCUUUGCCUUCUUUUUGCCGUGGUUUUCCCGCCUCUGUGGCUGCGGUUUUUCUGCCUUGCUGCGGCUGUCUGGCUCCUGGUACUCCGCUUCGCUUGCACUGCUGCCUCGCUGUUUUCCUGCUGUCUCUACUCGGACAGCGUUUGAGCUUGAGACUAUACAGAUUAGGAUGUAAACAAAGAACUGGUAACGGGUCCGUAUGGCAGUCUGGACCAGACUGUUUUAGUGAGUUAGUGUUGGUGCUGCUGGUUUUACUCAACUGGUCUUCAAUCAUCUUGUUUUAUAGAGUGUCUGGGUUAAUUGUGAGACUAACUCUGUUUGAUGGUUGUCUUUGUUUUUCUUCUGUUUUCCUCAUCUUUGGGUUUUUCCAGUUUCCUGUCCUUGUGUUGUUUGUAUGAACUUCUUUUGGGUUAAGUUUGUUUCCGUGAAUUACCAUUGAAUCUUUAUUGCUCUUGUAUUUAGUCAGUUAUCAGUUCAGAGUAUUUAAUUUCCCAAUUCAAGUAGAAAUUUGAGUUUUUGCAGUCUGCUUUUGAUGUUCAAUCUCGACUGCAGAAACUCAAAAUUGGUUUUAAAUGCACAUAAAACCAAACUCACGGUAUUUUCGAGCAAGAGUGAGUUACCAGGGAACAUUCCCUCUAUCCUAACUUCGCAGGGUGUACCCAUUGAGUUUGUAUCAGUGUAUAAAUAUCUGUGUUUCCUUGUUGAUUGCAAGCUUUCUUUCAAAGCACAUAAUGCCAGUUUGGUCACUAAACUCAGACUAUAAAUAGGUUAAAUCCUGCUUCUCCAUCAGUGCUUGAAAAUCCCUUGUAUCUGCUACCUUUCUUCCACUGUUGGAUUAUGGUGAUGUUGUAUAUAUGACUGCUCCAGCCAAAUGCCUGCAGUCCUUAACUGUCUAUCACUGUGCGCUGAGAUUUGUUACUGGUUGUAGUCGCCGAACACAUCAUUGCAAACUUUUUGCCAAAUCUGGCUGGCCUUCUCUGGGUACACUCACUGGAAGACUCUAGUUUAUAAGGUUCUUCUUGGCUUAGCUCCUUCUUUCUUCAAAGAACUGAAAGCCACGACACCCUGCGUUCAAACAACACUGUCCAUUUAAUUGUUCCGCGAAUCAGAACUGAGUUGGAUAAAAAAGCAUUUUUCAGUUUUGCUGCUACUUCAGAAGGGAAUACUCUCCAGACUGACCUGAAAUUGUCGGAAUGAAUUUCGCUGGAAGCAUUUCGUUCAAUCUUACAUGACAGACUUUUGGAGACAAUGGAACAACGCCUGUGUUUUUAAUUUCUGUUUCUGGAGGUCAUUUUCUUCGUCUUCGGUUAAAUAAAAAACUAUGGGUUGGGGCCAUUCUGUUUUGUUGCUCAGGUUUAAUUGUUUUGACUGCCUUGUCUGAUUGGUUCGUUAUUUGGUUUCUGUAAUUACAUUGUUUAAUUAAAGUUUGACAUUAUUUGGGUUUGUUCAUUUCCUUUGAGUGUGAGCCCACUAAAUCUUGUUUGUGUCCUUUUUCAGUUGCUGAGAGUCAACGGUGGUGGUCCCUGGUGUCCUGGUGGUGGUUUCCCCCUUUUAUAGUGUGCUGUGUGUCCCCAGUCUUUCGUUGUUGCACUGUGUGAAUUUUAGUAUUUUAGUGAUUGUCACGUUAUUUGGUGCCCUCCUUCCCUGAGAUCCCCCUCACUUCUUUGGUAAGACCCAGCCCUGAAAAAGGUUCCUCCUUCCCUGUGUGGGUGUGAUAUUUUUUAUUCAGAAUUUUUAGGUAGAUUGUUUAAAU